UCAAAUACCGCUCCGCAGGAGUCAGGGAGUAUUGGAUUGUCGAUCCGAUGAAACUGCAGAUUACGGUUUAUAAUUUCGAGUAUGAUACAUUUGAA
rnacentral:tRNA from 1 species